rfam:Chondromyces apiculatus DSM 436 contig37, whole genome shotgun sequence.
GGGGCUGUAGCUCAGCUGGGAGAGCGCCUGACUGGCAGUCAGGAGGUCAGGGGUUCGAUCCCCCUCAGCUCCA